rnacentral:lncRNA from 1 species
AAAUGUAGAGCUCGUCGAGAGGAACAUUUUAUACGCUGUAAGUAUGCAGCAAACUCUUAUCGUUUUCUUAAUAUGCAAGCUUGAAAUUGCAGCGUAAUUUUUUUUUGCACUUGGUGACCUUUGACCUUGGGUGCAAAUUAAAGGUCACAUGAACUUAAGAUUAUUGGUGUAGGUCCCAAGUCUUUACGACUUCCGGUUCUCGAGAUACAAUUUUUCAAAAAUUGUGUAUAUUUUUUCAAGGGAAAUAACUCCUUAUAAGGGUUAACAACAAAAUGAUUGUAUAUGUUAAUUAACAUUGCCAUCUGGUCUUGUACAUGUUGCCGUUUUCAAAUGGAUUCUAUCUUGAAUACUUUUUGAGAAAAAUGUAAAAGAAAGAAAUUGCUUCAAGGUGACGUCAUUCUCAUAGGGAAUGAUGAAAUCCUUAGCAGUCUCAUAUGGUAACACAUAAUGAUGAGAUCUAACUUUUGUC